AACCUUGGCGGCCCUCUUGAUGACUCCUCUUCCUGAGCAGCUCCAGUGAGGAGCAAACUGGCCCUUAAGAAGUUGACUGAAGGGGCGGCUUCCUC